AGAGUUUGAUCCUGGCUCAGAUUGAACGCUGGUGGCAUGCUUAACACAUGCAAGUUGAACGGCAGCAUGAUCUAGCUUGCUAGAUUGAUGGCGAGUAGCGGACGGGUGAGUAACGCGUAGGAAUCUACCUCUAAGUGGGGGACAACUUGUGGAAACGCAAGCUAAUACCGCAUAAUACCUUAGGGUUAAAGCUGGCUUCGGCUGGCGCUUAGAGAUGAGCCUGCGUCCGAUUAGUUUGUUGGUGGGGUAAAGGCCCACCAAGACUACGAUCGGUAGCUGUUCUGAGAGGAAGAUCAGCCACACUGGGACUGAGACACGGCCCGAACUCCUACGGGAGGCAGCAGUGGGGAAUAUUGGACAAUGGGGGCAACCCUGAUCCAGCAAUACCGCGUGUGUGAAGAAGGCCUGAGGGUUGUAAAGCACUUUCAAUUGUGAAGAAAAGCUAGUGGUUAAUAGCCAUUAGCCUUGACGUUAACUUUAGAAUAAGCACCGGCUAACUCCGUGCCAGCAGCCGCGGUAAUACGGAGGGUGCAAGCGUUAUCCGGAUUUAUUAGGUUUAAAGGGUUCGCAGGCGGAAUUUUAAGUCAGUGGUGAAAGCCUACAGCUCAACUGUAGAACUGCCAUUGAUACUGAUAUUCUUGAGUAUAGAUGAAGUGGGCGGAAUAUGUCAUGUAGCGGUGAAAUGCAUAGAUAUGACAUGGAACACCAAUUGCGAAGGCAGCUCACUAAACUAUUUACUGACGCUCAUGAACGAAAGCGUGGGGAGCGAACAGGAUUAGAUACCCUGGUAGUCCACGCCGUAAACUAUGAUCACUAGAUGUUGGCGAUAUAUUGUCAGUGUUUUAGAGAAAUCGUUAAGUGAUCCACCUGGGGAGUACGUUCGCAAGAAUGAAACUCAAAGGAAUUGACGGGGGCCCGCACAAGCGGUGGAGCAUGUGGUUUAAUUCGAUGAUACGCGAGGAACCUUACCAAGACUUAAAUGUAUUUUGACAGGUUGAGAAAUCAACUUUUCUUCGGACAAUUUACAAGGUGCUGCAUGGUUGUCGUCAGCUCGUGCCGUGAGGUGUCGGGUUAAGUCCCAUAACGAGCGCAACCCCUAUUUUUAGUUACCAGCGAGUAAUGUCGGGAACUCUAGAAAGACUGCCUGUGUAAACAGUGAGGAAGGUGGGGAUGACGUCAAAUCAUCACGGCCCUUAUGUCUUGGGCUACACACGUGCUACAAUGGUUACUACAGUGGGCUGCCAUCUGGCAACAGAGAGCAAAUCCAUAAAGGUAAUCUCAGUUCGGAUCGGAGUCUGCAACUCGACUCUGUGAAGUUGGAAUCGCUAGUAAUCGUAUAUCAGCAAUGAUACGGUGAAUACGUUCCCGGGCCUUGUACACACCGCCCGUCAAGCCAUGGAAGUUUGUGGUGCCUGAAGUCAGUAACCGAAAGGAUCUGCCUAGGGUAAAACAGAUAACUAGGGCUAAGUCGUAACAAGGUAACC
rnacentral:rRNA from 1 species